AUNGCACAUUAUCUUACAACG
rnacentral:rRNA from 1 species